GUACCAAUUCGCGCUUUCCUGAUCUAGGGUUUUUGUCCAGGGUUUUGCUAACAAAAUUAAAAAUCCCCAAAUUUCUCCCCAAACUCAGAGAAAUCAAUGGAGGGCUUGGAGGCCGCGGAUGCGGAUCUCACUGUCUACGUCCACCCAUCGAAGGCGAACAAGGUUCUCCACGCCGUUUCUCGCCAGCUCAGCUCUCUCCUCUUCACAUACGACGAUAACUUUGAUGGUAUACUACUGUCAUUUGACUACCAUAUUCAACACAGAAAAGCAAAGAUUCUUCCUGGUUUGAUCCCAUAUUUUGGAGUGCAAUUGAAAGCUAAAUUGCUCCUAUUCUCUCCAAAGCCUGACAUGUUAUUAGAAGGGAAAGUUGUUAAGGUGGGAAAGGAAUCCAUUCAUGUAAUUGUCCUCGGAUUUUGCUCAGCUGCCAUAAUGUCAGAAGAUAUUCGAGGUGAAUUCAAGUACAAAAUUAAACAUGGGAGAAGUGUUUUUUCAAGCAAACUGCAUAAGCGACAUGUUAUCAAGGAUGGUAGCAUAAUCCGAUUCUUAGUAAAAAGCUUGGACGAAGAAAUACUCCACAUAUCCGGGUCCUUAAUUCCUGCCCAUACUGGAUGCUUAUAUUGGUUAGCCAAACAUGCAACAGAAGAUGGUCCACAGGUUGAUAGAAGCUUGAAGAGGUAUAGACAGAGGGAUGCUAAGAAGGAAGUAGAAGAUCAGCACUCUGACUUAUCAAUUGAUGUCAAUCAUUCAUUGGAUAACAGACGUCCGCAUAAGUCUAGGAAGAGGAAUGUUGAAGACUGAUUAAAGUUAUACGCGUCUUACAUGCAGAUUAACAUUUAACGUAUGCGGUCAUAGCAUUUGACAGUUCAAUACCAUGAGUUAAGAGUUGUGCGUUGUUUUCUUUAGUUUCCAUAUGGUAAGAGUUCUGUGCUUCUGAAUUGGAGAACAUCAAUAGGUCUGAAAAAUAAGGCUUAGGUCUAGUCUGCUCCAUUAUUGAUUUGAUCUGGGACUUGCAAUUCUUGUACUAAGAUUACCAUUGAAAGCCUUCCGCUGGUUUAGUGGCGCGCGAGGUUAAGAUAUGGUAGUUUUUUCAGGCGAGAGAUGGAAACGCCACUCUGGAUUUUGAACUUAUGUUGAAUCAUCAUAAGAAUGUAUUACAAUGUAAAAUAUGAAGAGUUACUAACUAGGGCGUUUUUGCCGUUUAAGUUUUUUUUCCAAAAAAAACAGAACAUGUUUGAUGAAUGUGGUGUUUUUUUUA